UACGUAGGGUCCGAGCGUUGUCCGGAUUUAUUGGGCGUAAAGAGCUCGUAGGCGGUUCCGUAAGUCGGAUGUGAAAACUCGGGGCUCAACCCCGAGACGCCAUCCGAUACUGCGGUGACUUGAGUCUGGUAGGGGAACACGGAAUUCCUGGUGUAGCGGUGAAAUGCGCAGAUAUCAGGAGGAACACCGGUGGCGAAGGCGGGUCUCUGGGCCGAUACUGACGCUGAGGAGCGAAAGCGUGGGGAGCGAACAGG
rnacentral:rRNA from 1 species